GACGAACGCUGGCGGCGUGCCUAAUACAUGCAAGUAGGACGCAGUUGCGAACGGGUGAGUAACGCGUAGGUAACUACCUAUUAGAGGGGGAUAACUAUUGGAAACGAUAGCUAAUACCGCAUCAUAGUAGAUGGACCUGCGUUGUAUUAGCGAGUAGGUAGGGUAAUGGCCGACCUAGGCAACGAUAAAUAGACGACCUGCGAGGUUUAUCGGCCACACUGUGACCGAGACACCGCCCAGACUCCGACGGGAUGGCGCAGUAGGGAAUCUUAGGCAAUGGGGGGAACCCUGACCGAGCAACGCCGCGCGAGUGAAGAAGGGUUUCGGAUCGUACAGCUCUGUUGUUAAGGAAGCGGUACUUAACCAGAAAGGGACGGCUAACUACGUGCCAGCAGCCGCGGUAAUAC
rnacentral:rRNA from 1 species